rnacentral:rRNA from 1 species
AAGUGUGGACGCCAGUCUGCAUGGAGCCGACCUUGAAAUACCACCCUUUAAUGUUUGAUGUUCUAACGUUGGCCCCUGAUCGGGGUUGCGGACAGUGUCUGGUGGGUAGUUUGACUGGGGCGGUCUCCUCCUAAAGAGUAACGGAGGAGCACGAAGGUUGGCUAAUCCUGGUCGGACAUCAGGAGGUUAGUGCAAUGGCAUAAGCCAGCUUGACUGCGAGCGUGACGGCGCGAGCAGGUGCGAAAGCAGGUCAUAGUGAUCCGGUGGUUCUGAAUGGAAGGGCCAUCGCUCAACGGAUAAAAGGUACUCCGGGGAUAACAGGCUGAUACCGCCCAAGAGUUCAUAUCGACGGCGGUGUUUGGCACCUCGAUGUCGGCUCAUCACAUCCUGGGGCUGAAGUAGGUCCCAAGGGUAUGGCUGUUCGCCAUUUAAAGUGGUACGCGAGCUGGGUUUAGAACGUCGUGAGACAGUUCGGUCCCUAUCUGCCGUGGGCGCUGGAGAACUGAGGGGGGCUGCUCCUAGUACGAGAGGACCGGAGUGGACGCAUCACUGGUGUUCGGGUUGUCAUGCCAAUGGCACUGCCCGGUAGCUAAAUGCGGAAGAGAUAAGUGCUGAAAGCAUCUAAGCACGAAACUUGCC